rnacentral:rRNA from 1 species
UCGAGAAUUUUUCUCAAUGGGGGAAACCCUGAAGGAGCGACGCCGCGUGGAGGAUGAAGGUCUUCGGAUUGUAAACUCCUGUCAUUCGAGAACAAGGUCUGCGAAGUAACUAUUGUCAGACUCGAUAGUAUCGAAAGAGGAAGGGACGGCUAACUCUGUGCCAGCAGCCGCGGUAAUACAGAGGUCCCGAGCGUUGUUCGGAUUCAUUGGGCGUAAAGGGUGCGUAGGUGGCAUGGUAAGUCGGGUGUGAAAUCUCAGGGCUCAACCCUGAAACUGCACUCGAUACUGUCGUGCUCGAGUACUGGAGAGGAGACUGGAAUUUACGGUGUAGCAGUGAAAUGCGUAGAUAUCGUAAGGAAGACCGGUGGCGAAAGCUAGUCUCUGGACAGUUACUGACACUGAGGCACGAAGGCCAGGGGAGCAAACGG